UCCACCCACCCGUGUGCAAGCUGGCCUGGGAGUCCCCAACCAAUUGUGACAGAUGACGCUAACCGAACACCAGGGUUACAAGCACAGAGGACUGUGGGGUUGGAGGGAGCCUUUCUAAGAGUCGGCACAGUGCUGUGAUUUGUCUGCAAAGGCUGUUACACAAACCCUGGGCAAGAAGGAAGCACAGAAUCUGGCCCUCAGAACCAAGCGUUGCAAUGGUCCAGCAUCACCUCCUUCUCUGGACUCUUCUGGGCACAUUGAUACAUUGCACCUGCUAAAAACACAUCAUGGAUACAGUUAGCAGUAGCACUAGAGGAGAGUGGGAAGAGUCAGCUUUAUCUAAGCCAAAGGAAAAGAAAUGUGUUAAUUCUCA